UUUAAUACACAGAGCAUAGUUUAUAACAACAUAGCAAGAUUGCUUACAGCCUAACUGGAUUGCUGGAUGAGAAGUUCAGACAGAGAGAAGCCAUCUUGUAGAGAACAUCACGUGACUCAGAAAAGGCAGAAAUAGGCUUUUAUCUGUUCUUUUGAGGCUGGAUAACCUUUGGACCCAAUUCAGGAAGAACUUUCUAAGGUUCACCUAGGGAAAGAAAUGAGAGAGUAGCUAGAUGAUAAAGUUUGAGACAAUAAGAUAUCCGCUUUCCACACUAAUACAAAAUAAGGACAAAGACUACUUCCCACAGUAUUCAGAAUACAGUUCAAAUUCCUUAACAAGGACUAUCUUUGUGGUAUGAUGCUAUAAUUUAUUAACCAAUCCAGGACAUUUUUUGAAGUGAAAGGGAGUGUGCUAUUACAAUUUUUCCAGGAAAAUAUGGUUAAACUAGGACAGUUCUGGGCAAACAUGUAUAUACAGUUACCUUGGCGAUAAAUGAAGGCCCUGCAUCAUCUUACCACAUCUUGUUAAAUUUUCCCCAUUCAUUGAUCCUACUUUCUUUCAGUUCUUUGAACAUAUCCACCUCUAAGCUCAUUCCUGCUCAGGGACCCAAUACACACUUUCAGUCUAUCUUGUUCAGCUCUUCUCUCUUUGCCUGGUUAACUAAUAAUCUCUGUAGUGGUCACACUCUGUAGGCCAGUUACACAGCAACCCUUCCCUACUUUUUUCUCAGUGGUACCUGGAUUUUGUCCAGCCAUCCCUCACACAACUUCCAUCACUUAGAAACUCUGUAACUACAACCUUAGUCCAGUGAAGAAUACUGACAGGAAGAAGUCGGUCAGCUGUGGCAUUCCUCUGUCUACUAACAACUUUAGUUUUUAGAGACAGGGUCUCGCUCUGUUGCUCAGGUUGGCGUACAGUGGUGCCAUCAUAGCUCACUGCAGCCUCAAACUUGUGGGCUCAAGUGAUCCUCCUGCUUCAGCCUCGGAAAGCACUGAGAUUACAGGUGUGAUCCACUGCACCCAACCUUGUCUGGGCAAUGACUUAAGGAAAAUAUAUUAGUUUGGAGCUUCACAUGGCAGAAAACUCUCCUAAUUAGUGGUUUGAAUGAAACAGAAAUUCAUUUCUCUCCCUCAUUUAAAAGAAGGAGAUAGCCAGGGGUCGGGAUGGUGUUAUAGCUGUCAAGCACUCAGGGUCCAUAUUGCCUUGUUAUCUUCACAUGUGGCUAUAGAUCUUCAGAUCAUAUUCACGUUGCAGCAGCAGGAAGCAAGAAGGGACAGGGAAGGGUACACCCCUUCCUUGUAAGAAUAUAGCCCAGAAAUCACUUCCACUUACCUCUAUUACCAAAAGAGUCAAAAGGCCACACCUGGUUCUUAGGACAGCUGGGCAAUGUAAUCUUUGCUCCCGGUGGCUCUGUGCCCCACUAAAAACUUAGGAUCAUGGAUCUCGGUGCACAACUAGCAGUCCUUCUGCCAUGGUGCACCAAUUAGCCCGAAGGGAAGGACUUAGUCCUAGCGUACUCCUCUUUCCCUCUCCUGCUGGACAUGAAC
ensembl:lncRNA